rnacentral:rRNA from 1 species
AUUGAACGCUGGCGGCAGGCCUAACACAUGCAAGUCGAACGGUAGCACAGAGAGCUUGCUCUCGGGUGACGAGUGGCGGACGGGUGAGUAAUGUCUGGGAAACUGCCUGAUGGAGGGGGAUAACUACUGGAAACGGUAGCUAAUACCGCAUAAUGUCGCAAGACCAAAGAGGGGGACCUUCGGGCCUCUUGCCAUCGGAUGUGCCCAGAUGGGAUUAGCUAGUAGGUGGGGUAAUGGCUCACCUAGGCGACGAUCCCUAGCUGGUCUGAGAGGAUGACCAGCCACACUGGAACUGAGACACGGUCCAGACUCCUACGGGAGGCAGCAGUGGGGAAUAUUGCACAAUGGGCGCAAGCCUGAUGCAGCCAUGCCGCGUGUAUGAAGAAGGCCUUCGGGUUGUAAAGUACUUUCAGCGAGGAGGAAGGCAUUGUGGUUAAUAACCACAGUGAUUGACGUUACUCGCAGAAGAAGCACCGGCUAACUCCGUGCCAGCAGCCGCGGUAAUACGGGAGGGUGCAGCGUUAAUCGGAAUUACUGGGCGUAAAGCGCACGCAGGCGGUCUGUUAAGUCAGAUGUGAAAUCCCCGGGCUCAACCUGGGAACUGCAUUUGAAACUGGCAGGCUUGAGUCUUGUAGAGGGGGGUAGAAUUCCAGGUGUAGCGGUGAAAUGCGUAGAGAUCUGGAGGAAUACCGGUGGCGAAGGCGGCCCCCUGGACAAAGACUGACGCUCAGGUGCGAAAGCGUGGGGAGCAAACAGGAUUAGAUACCCUGGUAGUCCACGCCGUAAACGAUGUCGACUUGGAGGUUGUGCCCUUGAGGCGUGGCUUCCGGAGCUAACGCGUUAAGUCGACCGCCUGGGGAGUACGGCCGCAAGGUUAAAACUCAAAUGAAUUGACGGGGGCCCGCACAAGCGGUGGAGCAUGUGGUUUAAUUCGAUGCAACGCGAAGAACCUUACCUACUCUUGACAUCCAGAGAACUUGGCAGAGAUGCCUUGGUGCCUUCGGGAACUCUGAGACAGGUGCUGCAUGGCUGUCGUCAGCUCGUGUUGUGAAAUGUUGGGUUAAGUCCCGCAACGAGCGCAACCCUUAUCCUUUGUUGCCAGCGGUUAGGCCGGGAACUCAAAGGAGACUGCCAGUGAUAAACUGGAGGAAGGUGGGGAUGACGUCAAGUCAUCAUGGCCCUUACGAGUAGGGCUACACACGUGCUACAAUGGCGCAUACAAAGAGAAGCGACCUCGCGAGAGCAAGCGGACCUCAUAAAGUGCGUCGUAGUCCGGAUUGGAGUCUGCAACUCGACUCCAUGAAGUCGGAAUCGCUAGUAAUCGUAGAUCAGAAUGCUACGGUGAAUACGUUCCCGGGCCU